rnacentral:rRNA from 1 species
CCUACGGGAGGCAGCAGUGAGGAAUAUUGGACAAUGGGCGCGAGCCUGAUCCAGCCAUGCCGCGUGCAGGAAGACGGUCCUAUGGAUUGUAAACUGCUUUUAUACAGGAAGAAACACACCCUCGUGAGGGAGCUUGACGGUACUGUAAGAAUAAGGAUCGGCUAACUCCGUGCCAGCAGCCGCGGUAAUACGGAGGAUCCAAGCGUUAUCCGGAAUCAUUGGGUUUAAAGGGUCCGUAGGCGGUUUAAUAAGUCAGUGGUGAAAUCUGGUCGCUCAACGAUCAAACGGCCAUUGAUACUGUUAGACUUGAAUUAUAAGGAAGUAACUAGAAUAUGUAGUGUAGCGGUGAAAUGCUUAGAUAUUACAUGGAAUACCAAUUGCGAAGGCAGGUUACUACUUAUGGAUUGACGCUGAUGGACGAAAGCGUGGGGAGCGAACAGGAUUAGAUACCCUGGUAGUCCACGCCGUAAACGAUGGAUACUAGCUGUUCGGAGCAAUCUGAGUGGCUAAGCGAAAGUGAUAAGUAUCCCACCUGGGGAGUACGUUCGCAAGAAUGAAACUCAAAGGAAUUGAGG